GAAUCGGACCUGCCCGGUGGGUAUUAUUUUAACGGCCGCGGUACUCUGACCGUGCGAAGGUAGCAUAAUAAUUUGUCUUAUAAUUGAAGUCUUGUAUGAAUGGUUUAACAAGGGUGUAGCUGUCUCCUUUUAAUUUUUUAAAAUUUUAUGGUUAAGUUAAGAAGCUUAAAUUUAAUUAAAAGACAAGAAGACCCUAUCGAGCUUUAAAAGUGUUACUGGGGGUGUAUAUAUUAAUUUAUAUGUUGUACUAGUAAAUAAAUUUUGGUUGGGGCGACUGAGGAACAUAAAAAGCUUCCUUAAGAUGGUAUACUGGUAAGUGUUGAUCCAAAAUGUUUGAUUAAUAAAAUUAGUUACCGUAGGGAUAACAGCAUUAUCCUCUUUGAGAGUUCACAUCGAAAAGGGGGUUUGUGACCUCGAUGUUGGACCAGAAUAUCCUGAAGAUGUAGUCGUCUUUAAGGGUUGGUC
rnacentral:rRNA from 1 species